AGAGAUCCUGUUUUGUGAUUUUUUUUUUUUAGCGAGGAUCCGAGCCUCGCUUGCUGUUCUCAGAGCAAAACACUUCUGCUGCUUAAAGUCAGAUCUACGUCUUUUGCAAUAAUACUUAAAAAAAUAAAAAGGAUAAAUAAUUGCCUUAAAGCCUCAGCCGAACUGCCAACCACACCUUCGGAUGUUAGAAGGCAGAAAUAUGUGAACUGCUGAGAGAGGUGGGUACUUUUUGUUUUAGUUUCAGACCUGUCCUAACCCUGUGGUGCUGCCAAGAGGUGCAUCAGGAGGGGACUAUUGAGGGAAUGCUGCUCAGGACGUGUUUGGCUUCUCCGGACCUUGUCUGGGUUUAAUCACAGGCUUUGGGACAAAAUGUGCAUUAUUAAGAAGUAUAAAUAUUUUCAGAAGCAAUCAAAGGGUUGAAAGAUUGAUUCGGCAUGUAGAUUGGAUUUAAUUCGAAGCAGCUUUGUUCUAAUGAGGACUACUGGGAUACAAAGACGGCAGCCGCUUAUGGCCACCAGUUGGGAACUUCCACUCGCUGCAGCAACCUGUCAAGAAUUCCAAGAAACUGCCAGGGUAAAAUUGCCUGCAGGGUACGUUUGCUGAAGCCUGCUAAUUCCUCCUGAGGUCAGUGGGUACCGGGUGCUGGGCAGCAGAGCCUCUCCUGGCCGGGCACGGUGGGCUCCGGCUGCUUCCCAAGAGACAGGGACAGUCAUGAAGAACGUGGGAUUUCCCACAGGAAUUUGGAAGAUGCCCAUGUCUAAGAUAAUGGUGAGGAUUGGGCCAAAAUCCAGAUCCAGCCUUGAUUCCUUCAUCCAAGUAACCCUGUGCUGACCCACGGCUGCUGAGGGAUCGCAGCGGCGAGGACCUUCCUCCCUUCCCUCCUCGCUGCCCUGCAUCAGAUCACCAGGAGGACCUGAGAGUACUUCUCAUUUCAAAUGUUCAAGAAUCUGGCUUUGAUCUUCUUUGAGAAUGGGGAAGGACUUUUGUCUCUGAAGAAUGGAGCUCAUGGAGUCACUUGGUCAAUUCCCAUUGGCACCCAGCAAAGACCAUGGAGAUGUUCAAUGGUACAAAAAGGGAUGAACCAUCACAAGACAGUGAUUGGAAAGUGUGGGGACCAAGCACUCAGGGAGGUGGCUGAUGCAGCUGGUUCCCUGGCCCUGGGCUGUGGCUCAGCUCUUGGUGAUGGCACAAGCACCAGAGGCCAGAGGUGGGGACUGUUUCUGUCUUGGCUACUCCUCGUCAGGGCUUUGAGCUGCACGAAGAACCAAGGAAACACGAGUGCACCACCAGGGAUUUGCACCUCUCUACACCUGAAGCACAGCAUGAAGUUCCACCCUUUGCUUCUGCAGCAAGUUCUUGUUACCCAAUUCCUGCUGACAGCAGAGGAAGAGGCACAAGUCAGCUCAGAAAAUGAACGACUAGAAGGCUGGGCUCACAAGUUGGACUUGGAAGAAGAAACUUCCAUGCAGAGAUGUGACUGCAGUGUGAAUACUGUGCCAGGGUUUCUUUACAGAUGAAACCUGGAGUGUCCUAAAAUCCAGCAACCACUCAAUACCAGCAACUUCCACACCCCUCUGUGCUCCUACAAUUGCUUUGAACCAGUUUAUUUAUUCAUUUGGGCUUUAAGCACUCAGAUGCAUUCCUUCUUGCUGCAGCAGCAGGGGUACAGGAAGGGGUGUUUGAAACCAUGCAGUCAAUUCCACCCUGGAUUUCAGGAGGAGUUAUUCUUGUCUCAGAGAUGACGCAUUCAAAUAUCCCUCUAUGGAUUCCAGUUCUGAGCCCAAGAGGUCAUGGAUGGUGAGAGCUCUCCUCUGCUUUGGAGCUGUUCUAUCUUCUAAGAGAAAUCAGGAAGAUGAGUUGGGAGAGAUGCUUUACUUUCUUUGAUAAAACAAAUGGCCAGUUUUAGCCUAAUCAUCACUUCUGCCUGAGGAAAGAGGAGCUCUUUGAGGUUUAUCUCUAAUUCUGUUGGAAAUGAUUGAAAUUAUUCCAUUGACUUCAGCAAAAUCUCUUUCCUGCUGGAUUAAAGGCAAUAUUUGUGCAUCAGAUUUGCUGGUGGUGUCCCACUAAUGAAACAGUCUCUAAUGCACUGCGUGAUAGGAAGAAGGAAAAUACCUCAUGAGAAGAAUUAGAUUGACUUCUGACAUUUUUCUGUAUAUCUGCUGGGAGUUUCUGCCACAGGGGCCAUAGAAUCAUGGAAUCAUUAAGGCCACCACCAACGCUUGUCAUUCCUGAUUUGCAACAUCACCUGUUGCUCCAACACCAGGCUCCUGUAGAGCAGAAACUGGAGCAAAGAAGAGAAAUACGUGUUUGUCAUUGAACUGAGCUGAGAAGAAGGAAGAGGAGAAUGAUAAGAUCAUAGCCUGCAGCACUUUGUUUAUGAGAACAUCCUUCCAGUGAUAUAUGUCUGCACCAGGUGAAAGUAUUGUGUCACCCCUAACAUAUUUUAAAUGCCAGGGCUGUCAUGCAAGAAGACAAUGAUGAACAAGUUUAAACAGAAUAUGGUUUUGUAGCCAUGUACAGAGUUACCCUUUGAAGGUUUGCACUGGUAGUGCUUCCUAGCAAAAUGUUUCCAAGCUCUGCUAUAUUCCCCUUCAGAACCCUUCUCACACAGAAUUUAAACUAAAUGGAGACAUUUCUAUUGCAGGCAAACUGAUGGGGUUGUACAUAAAGCAGUGCAUUUCCUCAGGCAGGAUUUUCAGGCCAUUUCACACAUUCUCCCCACCAUACUACCCAAGUUUGUCAUAACUCCUUGGAUAGGAGCCCUGCUGCACUCAGCAAAUAGGCAAAGAAAUCUCUGUCUACACCAUGCUCUGAGGAGCAGGGACUGGCCCCAGGUCGCUGUGUGGCAGAGGUUUACUCAGACUAACUCUAGCAUGCUCCUGUGGACUGAAUUCCCAUCAGCUGCAGCAGCUCCCAGAUCACAUCACCUGCUUUAAUUCCACCCGGAAGAAUUCCGUUUGCGUGCUCCUAGGCUGCCUGGCCUGGUGGGACGGGGUAAGCAGGGUUAUAUUUGGGGGAUUCUCUUCAAAAGUGCACCCCUGGGCCAAAGUGAAAGGCUAAUGCAGAAGCACCUUUCCUCAGCAGGCAGAUAUGCCCAGAGCUAUCAUCACAUGGCAGUUUUCUUCCCAGAUAUUUAUCUGGAGCUCGACUGCACGAACACCAUCCCCGCGUUCUAACGCUGUUGCACAACACCACUCCUUGGCUCAGGCUGACAGCUCAAAUUGAGCCUUGGGAAAGCCAACAUCCAACACACAGAUUGAGAGUGGGCAUGACCACAUCCACCUUGGAUUCAGGUGAAAGAGCUUUAGCUGUGUGUGUCACGUGGAAAUGAAGGCAACCGUGACACCGCGGAGGAAGAGUAAGGUCAGAGCCACUCCAUGACCCAUCCAUGACAGCAUUAAUAACUUCACAAGAGGGAGGAAAGGGAGCCUCUGAUUGCCUGAAAAAACCUUCUAGGAGGUAGGAUUUCUUAAAUGCUUAUUAAGGUCCUGUGUGGGCUUGUGUAACGCGCUCAGCAUCUGCCCCUCAGUUUUCCUUUCUGUAAAAUGGGCAUACCUUGUUUUCCACAAGUUAUUAGGAGGAUUUUCCAAUUAAGGUUCAUCAUAAAUGAAAGUGUCUUGCAAGCAGUAUUUAAUCACCUGGCCAAAAAUGGUCUCCAACUCCUUUGGGCAGAAUGUGAGUUUUUAUAGGGACUGGUCACAGUGUCCAGAAGGCUACGGGAUCACAGGCUGCAUCUUUGAGACUGAGUUUACUUCUGAAUCAGUAAAUGUACUAGACAAAGCAGCCAUUAUUUAUGCAUUCCUGCAUACAUGGCAAGGUGAAAAUAAUAGAAUAAACAUCAUAUACUUCAUUAUGAUAUCGGUUUACACUUCCAGGGUACACAAAAAGAGGCCAUUUCAUCAAGCUAAUUGCCUGAAAGUAAAAGAGAGAGAACUUUAGCUAUUAGUCUAUUAUGGGGCUUUUUUCUUAAUCACAAAUAGGGGCCGUGUGUCCCCAGGGGGAUGUGUAUUCUAAUUUACAAUUGAACUACAGAUCAGAGCAAUCAAUCUUGUGCAGCACUUUUACAGUGUAAUUGCUGCAACAUAACAAAUAAAAAAAAAAAAAAAGCAGCCUAAGUCGAGUUUCAGCUUGAGGUGGAGAUAUUUACCAGGCAUUGGUUCGGGGUGGGAGGGAGGCAGAGAGAGGAGCGAGGCGCCAAAGCCAUGAAUAUGCAAUGAGGGCUCAUUAGUGCCCCAGUGUUGCCAUGACGAAUGGCAUUAUCCCCAGACUGGUGCAGCCUAAACAUGAAUUUUAUAACGACCCAUUUAUCAUGACUUGUCAUGGGUUUCUUUACUGUACUUUCUACUGACUCUCACACCUUCCACCAUUAGCACCUCAGAAUCCCUUCCUUUUGUUCUUUUAUCUUAUUCCAUCUUAGUUUUGGCCCCGAUUCUCAGGCGAUAAGGAGAGGAGGGCUGCAAACGCUGGUGUUCAAGAGUUCAGAGCUUCCCAAGCUGAAGACCCACCGCCAAAAUGUGUUGGUGGUCUUCAGUCCACUUACUAGUGGAUAAGUGUCCUCCUUGUCACAAGUAUCUGCAAUCUUGUCAGUUGACUCAGCAGAAAGGUCUCGGGUUGACCGAGCAUCCAGACAACUAUCUUUCCACUCUGGCAGAUGUGAUGGAUGAAUCUGUUUUCUUGACCUAGGCCUGUCUCCUCCUCAGCCCACUCCAUCUAUGUGCACAGUGUAACAAUCCACCCCUCAUCCUCACGUUGAAAAAGGCGCAAAAUCAGAUAAAUAAACAAAAACUGCUUUCUCCCCAGUUUCACUUAAAUGAAAAAAAACUUCCUAGGUCUAAAACCCAACUGAUAGGGAAAGCAUUUACUUUCCAGGAGCAAGCAAUAUCAGUCAACUCUACAGGAAAACCAAAUUACUGUGAAGUAAUUAGUGUCUGGCUUUAGCUCAUUUUUGGUCGCUGCACGUUGUCUCUGUUUUACUGCUGUCCCUUUGGCCUGCCCGAUCCCACAUUUAAUAUACCACUGCUUAUAAAGAAAUCCCUGUGGCUCAGAAGGCUGAAUUGCCACUGCUGGGCUAGGGCCUGCUCUCUACUAUAUAGAGGCUUUCAUUUCCCAAGUUAUGAAUCUGACAUCCCAUGGCCAAAUCCAUGCCAGUUUAUUUCUGAGAAGUCUGUCCUCAUUAUUUACCCCAAAUAGUUUCACUGUCAGUCUGCCCUUUUUUUUUUUUUUCUUUCCCCACUGUGAAGUGGCUGGAGUAUCUGAAAGUAUCAAGCCCUUCUUUGUUGGAUUUUACACUUUUGCUAUUACAAGAAUUUGUCUUUAGGGAUAGAAAAAUCAAGCAACUUAUUUCCAGCUAUUACUCGGAUAGGACUUCAUGUUCUUAAACAAGUUCUGAGCUCCCAUGAUCUCUGAAAACAACUCUCCCGAGGUCUUACAUCAGGGUAGUCCUACAGUCCUUUCAUUACUCUACUGGAUGUUUGAAAAUAUUAAAAGGCAUCUAGCAUCCCAGGCCAGCAAUUUAUAGACUCAAAGUCUGGCGCUGAGGCCCUCAAAACCUCUAUUUCUUCCCCAAAAUCUGCACUUUGCUAUUAUUGUUGCCAAGACAGAGCACGUGUUUCACCAGGAGUAGUUUGUCAAAGCAACAGUCCAUUAUCCAAAGAUUCAUGACAGGUUCCCACUCUGGUACACGAGGGAAGAGAGGCUGGAUGUCAGAAAGGGAGGAGGAAGGAAAGAUUCCUCUCAGAAAGGUGCAUUUGGGGAAUGACACACCUUGAUUAAUCAGGGCAUAGCUGAUUAGGCCAACAAAUGUUGCCAUUUUAUUUUUUUCUUUUUUAAACCCAUCUGUGCUCCUUUGGAGAAUAUAGGUAUAUAAAAAUAUAUGUAUGUGCAGUUUUUUAAAGCCCCUGACAGAAUCUUCCACAAGUCUGUGACUUAUGAUGGAGAACUCCAGCUCCCACUACAAUACAAACAAUGUUCUGUUAAUUAUCAGGAGACAAAAGAAGAAUAGAAAUCACUCUUAAAGAAGCAAACCAGAAAUGACAUCUAAUAUUGGAGAAAAUGUCCACUGUCUUCAACAAGGAUUCGGGACACAGCAAAUAUUAUCAUUAUUCCUGAGAAUAAAUGUUUGCCCUAUGACCCAGGUGAUCUGAUCACCUAUUGAGUGGAGAGAAUGGAGAGUUGUCACAAACAAUGUGGUUUAAUUAAAUUAUUUUAAUUUAGCUCCUAUUAGGAGUACUAAAACUGACUGUACUCAGUCUAUGAGAUCAGAUUGAUACGUCUGAUCCAUUAUCUGCAGUUUAUGUGAUGGAAUGAGCAGAUUCCUGUUUGAGUUGGUUGCAGGAACUCACAGGUCCAAUCUGUGGAGGUUAUUCCAUUAUUUUAUACCAAUACUUGCAGUUCCCUUUGAGAAACAGGCUCAUCUUUAUUCCACUCAGCUCAUGGAGCAGAAAGACACGGAAACAAGGAAUAUUAAGGGACAGCCAACGGAGAUGACACCGAGCUCUGUGUCACUUUAGCACCCAGGAAUCACAGAAUCACAUCAGAGUUUUCUAGGCUGAGAUCAACAACCAUAUGGAGGGCAGCUGCCCAGGAAAGGAAAACAUUCACUAUUCCUCAGUCAACCCACAAAUGGCAAUCAUUAAAAUAAAAUAAUUGCAAUCUUUAAAAUAUUAAGUCCUUGGUUCUAAACUGACAGGACUCCAAUUAUAGGAAAUGCACAAAUUUCAGGAGAAAAAGGCUACUUUCAUUGUCAUAUGAAUCCAGCUUCCACUAAAGUAUCAGAUUUGAGAUUGUUUCAGAAAUUAAGAAAUAUAAGCAAUAUUUUGAGGUGGAAGAAAAAUCUAUAAGGUAGGACUAAGUGUUUAUCCUGAAUUUAUGGUAAUUUUUCUGACUGAGUGCUGUAGGAUCAGAAAUAGGCUACCAACAGAUUCACAUGAAAAUUCUGCUUUAAAUACAUAUAUCUGCUUGUAAUAAAAUUCUGACCACAUAGUAAAAAUCUGGAAAAUUAUACAUGCAGUAGUUUUCUACAUUUACAGAUAGAAUUCAUAAACUUAGGACAAAAAACAAACAAACAAACCUGAGAAAAACUUCAGGUGUGAUUACUAUUUAAUGCUUUUCCAUGUCCUUUCAACUGACAUGUAUACAGGAAAAUUAAAAAACCCCGUAAACCCAGACACUAUUUCUCUUUGUGAAGUGAUGCUCAUUUAAGGACUUGAUAAAAUUCUAAGCCUGAGCACAAAAGUCCUUCUGACUGAAUACUGAAGUGUUUGAGGACCCAGGCAGUGCCAGGGACAUAUCCUUAUGUGGUUGUAAGAGCUCCUGAUUGUGCAAAAUAAACCUGACCAGCCUUUUUUUGCUGUUUUUGUAGAGAAAUUCAUCCCUCCCUUUUUAGUUCUGUUUCAAAUAUGACCUAAUAUAUUUUUUCUCUGUUCAAAGCUUGGCUUUAGUCAUCCUAAUGAACUAAUGAUCUUUUCCAUUGGAUAUACUUCAGCUUUGUCCUGAAGGCUCCUCACCUUUCUCCAAGUGGAGCCAAUGGCUUGCUGCUCCCCACUUUUAAACAAACAAACACAAUGUCCUUCUUCCCCCCUUCCACCCCACUUUCUUUAAUGACAUCUUCAGUCAUUAAUGAGUUAAUAAAAAUCUCAAAGUCAUCUGGGAAUAGAUAAGGGGGAAGAAAGAAGAGUAUUGUACACAUAAUGACAGGCUCCCUGCUGGCCCUAAGAUGUCAUGGGUCAGCCAUGUCAAGAAUGUGUGUGCCCAAUCAUCUGCUGAUUUUUAUCAGCAAGGCCUGAAGCAGAAUCUGACACGGCCAGUUUGGGAGUUACAAUGAAUAAACAAUGACUUCUUGGAUUGUUGGCUGCUGUGUGAUAGAGUGAGAGGGUUUAUAUAUACUAAAACAUGAUGACAUUAGCAAUCAAUAUACCAAUUACUGGACAAGUUAUUGGACGAAGAAUGCACAUGUCCUGAGCUUUGUGCACUUUGAACAUGCUGCCAGCAAAGGAGACCACAGAAAUAAUGUUAAUUAACCCAUUCCAAGCUUGAUAUGCUAAUACCUGACGAUGCCUUGAAGUUUUUGAGAGCGUGAGGUAGGAAAAAGCCUUGCUCUGAUAUAGCUCAUUAAACAUUGGAAAUAUAAAACACAAGCCUGACAAAUUUAUUUUUCAUCAGGACUUGAGGAAGAAAGGAAUAAAUUUUUUUCAGGUGAGCAGCUGAGAUUCUAACAGACUUAAAUUGUUCUCCAUAAAAUUUCACCUAAACACCCUCAGCAUGCUACACAAAUUUCAUCACUGAGAAGUUAGAGCAUAUCUCCUAUAGCUUGGUUAAGGAAAUAUCCCAACAACUCUCACCUGCCUAUUCUUAAGUAAAGAAAAUAAGAUAAAACCCUAACACGCUUUUUUAUUUCUGUGUGACUGGAAAUGCAUUUCUGCAUCUGAUCAGUCCCUUACAUUCUUUAGUGUGCUCAAAAUAUUCAGUGUUUAUGAGUUUGUCUUCUCUUAUUCUGGAAGUGAUUGUGAAGAUAAAAUGACAGUAUUUUAAUUGAAGCCAGAAUAGAAUGGGAUUAUAUAAAUCACCUAAUUCCAAGUGCAAUAUAGAAGAGAACUAAAGUGGAGAUCAACGUUGCAGACAGAUCUAGAUUGGAGUUCAAUGGUGUCAGCUCUCCUUUAAGAUGGACAAGUCCAUGAACUAAUGGAAAGCUCAUGGGUUUUGCCCUGAGAUGCAUUGUUAAAAUGAUGUAGAAAAAAAAGACAGGUUUUAUGAUGCUUCUCCAUCCUUUUCAGUGUAGCCUCUGAAUGACAAUUUUACUGCCAUCUGGGAGCAGCAAUGCCAUGGACCCUUUGACUUUUGCUCAGGUGGGAGCAAACAAGGCAGGGUGUAAAUAUAAAAUUUAGCUCUGCCUGCUAGGGCAUCAACCAAUGCAGUAGAAAUUGUGCAGAAGGAGGGAGGAGAAGAGUUCAGCCAUCAGAGGGGUCCUGUGUACUUGCUGUGUGUCAGGGGCUGGAUAAAAUCUGCAGAUACAUCUCUUACAGAUCACUUUUGUGAUGUUACUCGAAAUUAUAAUCAGUUCUGCUCCUGCUCCUAGAGCAUGAAGCACUUCUCAGAGUUGUGUUGGAUGGUGAUGGCAGAGGGACCAGCCCCAGACCAAAGAGGGGGGAAAAUAGAUGAGGCUCCAUCUGGUUUUAACUGCAGUGGUUAGGAAGUGUUCAUCUGGAUCCUUCCAAAUGGCUCUUCCCUUCCCAUUGAGUGAGUUCUUGAAAAGUUUAAAAGUGAAUUUGUCCAGCCUGUGUGAUAUGAAUAACAAAAUGUUUUUAGAUGUAAAUGUUUCAUAAAAUAGCAGCAUUACCAUACAUUGCAGUGAAUACAGUUAAAAAACCCAACUCAAUAAUCCCUCCUCUGUAAUUUACAAUUAACUUUUUGCCUCAAGGUAACAGCUACAUUCACAAAAAUAAUGGUAAUAGAUUGACCUUGUUAUAAAUGGAUAACAAGCUGGAAACAAUAUAGUUUGUCACAGAGCAUUAACUGUUACUGUUGAAAUUGUAAAUAAUGUGUAUAGAACUUACAAUGUAAAUGGCUCCCCUUAAAAAUAUUAAUUAUGUCAAUUAAACACUUGAUGCAUAAUGGA